GGAAGCUGACAAAUGAUUCCAGCAAUGUCCCAAUCGCUGAGUUGUUGUAUAGGGUAAAAAAGAAACCUCCGCCUCGACGUCUCCCUGACCCCACCGGCGCUGGCGUGCGUGCCGGAAUCGCCGUUGCCUCCGGCUCCGCAAACUACUAUGAGAGGGAGGCUACAUCUUCGCAGGUAUGUACGUGCAAAAUAUAUAUUUGUGCAAGCUUGUGUAUGUGCUGUUUUUGCUUUUUGAAAGUCAAAUUUAUGUGUGCCCAAGCUCAUAUGUGCUGUUUUUGGUACCCAAAUGUCAAAUAUAUGUUUGUGCAAGCUCAUGUGUGUGUGUUGUUUUUGGUAUCCAAAUGUCAAAUAUAUGUUUGUCCAAGCUCAUGGGUGUGCUCUUUUUGGUAUCUAAAUAUCAAAUAUAUGUUUGUGCAAGCUCAUGUGUGUCGCUGUUUUUGCUAUCCAAAAGUCAAAUAUAUGUGUGUCCAAGCUCAUUUGUGUGCUGUUUUUGCUAUCCAUAAGUCAAAUAUAUGUGUGUCCAAGCUCAUGUGUAUUCUUUUUGUGUGGUAGGCAAUGGAGCAUGAUAAGCAAGCGGAGGAGGAUCAUGAAGAGGUGGAAGAGGAUGAGGAGGAGGACGAGGAAGAGAAAGAUACUUUGUUUGAGGUGCCGCCUGGGGUUGGUGACAAAUCAGAUUCAGAUGGGUUUGUGGAUAGUGAAGAAGAAGCCUUCGAAGGUGAUGACAUUCCGAGGAUGGUCUAGGCAUUGGUCCUACGCCUCAAGUGCAAGAAACCGUACUUCUUAGUUCGGGUGAGGAUGAAGCAAGAAAAGUGCAAUGAAAGAGUGCCAAGAAGCGAAGAGGUCAAGCUCCUUCAA
rnacentral:lncRNA from 1 species